rnacentral:rRNA from 1 species
CCUACGGGAGGCAGCAGUGAGGAAUAUUGCGCAAUGGGCGAAAGCCUGACGCAGCAACGCCGCGUGAGGGACGAAGGCCUUCGGGUUGUAAACCUCUUUUCUGGGGGACGAGACCAGGACGGUACCUCAGGAAUAAGUCUCGGCUAACUACGUGCCAGCAGCCGCGGUAAAACGUAGGAGGCAAGCGUUAUCCGGAUUCACUGGGCGUAAAGCGCGUGCAGGUGGUGCUUUAAGUUGGGCGUGAAAUCUCCGGGCUUAACUGGGAGGGGCCGUUCAAUACUGAAGCACUUGAGGGCAGGAGAGGGAGGUGAAAUUCCCGGUGUAGUGGUGAAAUGCGUAGAUAUCGGGAGGAACACCAGUGGCGAAGGCGGCCUCCUGGCCUGUUCCUGACACUAAGACGCGAAAGCUAGGGGAGCGAACGGGAUUAGAUACCCGGGUAGU